rnacentral:tRNA from 1 species
UAGCUCAAUGGUUAGAGCGUCGGGCUCACAAUCACGAGGUAGUGAGUUCGAUUCUCGC